GGUUUUUCUUGGGUGACACAUCUGGAAUUGGUCUCCCUCCUCUCUGGUUCUGGGUGUGUCACCUGAGAACCGCA
rfam:Myotis davidii contig30622, whole genome shotgun sequence.